rnacentral:lncRNA from 1 species
GGCACAGGCUCGCCCGCCGCCGGCGAGAUGGCCAUCUAAUACCCGCGGCAGCCGCCGCCGCAACUUUUCCGCUCCGCUCCUGCCCCUGCCGCGCCGGUGGAAGAUGGCAGUUGGGGGAAGGACUGGAAGUUGCAGCCCGCGAGCGAAGAGAUAAGGCGGAGGCGCGGGAAGAUUCACCCCACUUCUGGAAGAAAUCUGAAGAACCUGCCACGGUUUACACUGUCAACAAGUUACCAUUCCAUCAAGAGCAAUGAGCUCCACAACACCAGUGGAUGUGAAGUCAGAGGUUCCCGUGGGAUUAGAGCCUAUCUCACCAUUAGACUUGCGAACUGAUCUCAGGAUGAUGGUUCCCAUGGUGGACCCAAUUAUGCGUGAAAAGCAGCUACAGCAGGAACUACUUCUGAUCCAGCAGCAGCAGCAAAUUCAGAAACAACUGCUGAUUGCAGAGUUUCAGAAGCAGCAUGAAAACCUGACCCGCCAGCAUCAGGCCCAGCUCCAGGAGCACAUUAAGUUACAACAGGAACUCCUAGCCAUUAAACAACAGCAAGAACUCAUUGAAAAAGAGCAGAAACUGGAGCAGCAGAGACAAGAGCAGGAGCUGGAGAGGCAUCGCAGGGAACAACAGCUUCCUCCCCUCCGAGGCAAAGAAAGAGGCCGAGAAAGGGCAGUGGCCAGUACAGAAGUGAAGCAGAAACUUCAAGAGUUCCUGUUGAGUAAAUCGGCAACAAAAGACUCUCCAGCAAAUGGGAAGAAUCAUUCCAUGAGCCGCCACCCCAAGCUCUGGUACACGGCUGCCCACCAUACCUCACUGGAUCAAAGCUCUCCACCCCUGAGCGGGGCCUCGCCACCGUACAAAUACACUUUACCAGGAGCACAGGAUGCCAAGGAUGAUUUUCCACUUCGUAAAACGGAAUCCUCAGUCAGUAGCAGCUCCCCUGGAUCAGGUCCCAGUUCCCCAAGCAAUGGUCCGACCAGCAGUAUAGCAGAAAAUGAAAACUCAGUUUUGCCAUCUAACAUUCAAGCUGAGCAUCUGGUUUCACAGCAACGGCUUUUGAUACAGGAUGAAUCGGUGAACUUGCUGAGUUUGUACACAUCCCCUUCUCUGCCCAACAUUACCUUGGGACUUCCAGCAGUGCAACCUCAAAUCAGUGCUUCAUCAUCAUUCAAAGAAAAGCAGAAGGGGGAGACCCAGUCGCUCAGACAAGGACUGGCCUUGGCUGGACAGUAUGGGGGGAACAUGCCUCCAUCCUCAACUCAUCCUCACGUUGCUUUGGAGGGAAAGCCAAAUAGCAGCCACCAGGCUCUCUUGCAGCAUCUGUUACUGAAAGAACAAAUGAGACAGCAAAAACUUCUUGUGACUGGAGCGGUUCCUCUUCAUCCACAGUCUCCUUUAGCAGCAAAGGAGAGAGUCUCGCCUGGCAUACGAGCUGCCCACAAACUGCCUCGUCACAGGCCACUGAAUCGAACCCAGUCAGCCCCUCUUCCUCAGAGUACUUUGGCCCAGCUAGUUAUCCAGCAGCAACAUCAACAAUUUUUGGAGAAGCAGAAACAGUACCAGCAGCAGAUCCACAUGAAUAAGAUGCUCUCUAAGUCCAUUGAGCAGCUCAAGCAGCCUGGCAGUCACCUGGAGGAGGCUGAAGAAGAGCUUCAUGGAGAUCACUCGAUGCAGGAAGAGCAAGCUCCCACCGGCGGUGCCAGCAUUAGGGUUGAGAGCAGCAGUGCUGGUGUGGAUGACAGAAUAGGACAGCAGGUGGGGGCUGUGAAAGUCAAAGAGGAGCCACCGGACAGUGAUGAGGAUGUUCAGACCCAGCAAAUGGAAUCUGGGGAGCAAGCUCCUUUUAUGCAACAGGUAAUAGGCAAAGAUUUAGCUCCAGGAUUUGUAAUUAAGGUUAUUAUCUGAGCAUCAAAUGCAUUUUCUAGGCUUUGGUAAGCAGUUGUGUUUUGAUUCACUGAUCUAGCAAAUCCUGAUUUACUGUUCAAAGAAUCUAACAAAGGCAGAAGUUCUGUAUGCACACUUGAAAACAUAGUGAAGCUCAUCCUUAUGGCCACUAAUUGAGAAAAUACCUGUUGCAGUCACUUAUUCUAUAUAAAUCUUUGCAUAAUAGCUGAUAGACUUUGUAUUAGCCCAGACUUCGUAUUAUGUUACAUCGCUUAGUUCUAGUGAAAGAGAACUCAUAUCACCUAGCUUGUUGAGAUCAGCAAUUGCUGGAAUUAGUUUCCAGUCCUGAUUGAUGAAACAUUCUCCUUCUCUGAUUUUGAAUCCUCUGACUUUUGCUUUCAGCUGUCUGUAUAUACUGUAUCAUACUGUAGUCUUGAACACUGUUGAUAACCUUAGGGUAUUUUUUCCCCAGUAGACAGGUACUGACUGCUAUAUCAGUGGUCCCAGGCUGAUGUAUAAAGUUUAAUUUAGAGAAGAGGUGGAUGCAAUUUACAGGGUGGAUGUAAAGAGGCAAGGCAAGGCACUGUUCAAAAUUGCAUUGUUUUUUUUGCACUGCUUAGUUAAUUUUUCAUUCUGUCUUAUUUGAUGAUGCAGUCCACAGAGACAUCCUUAAAUGCAGCAGAUGCAAGUACUGGCGAAAAGCAAAAGGCAGCAUUAGGUUGCAAUUAGUUGCUAGGAUAUUGCAGGAAGAGCACAGAACUGUUAUCAUUAUCAACUGAUACCCGAUCACUUGUUUGUAAUUUUAAAUAAAGACUAAUCAUACAAUAUGGCA